AUCACUUUAAAAGCCAGCAUGGUCAACAGGACAGGCAGAAAAGCUUAUGGGUAACAAUGAGAAGGACUGGGGCCAGGGUCCCUAUUCUGCUAGCUGCGUCCCCACACUUCCCUAAGUCUCUGUUUCCACAACUGUAGAGUGGGGAGGUCACAAUAACUUCUGUCCUGCAGGACUGUUGGAAGUUGUGUAUAUAGGAUAAUACUUGUAAAGUCCUUCACAGUUUCAGCACUAGGUAAAUGUUGACUUUACAGGUAGAUAUCGGCUGUGACAGUACAUUCCACGAAAGCAGGAGCCAUAUAUCUACUUUAUUCAACCAGUGCACAGUGUGGGCAUGAAACAGAGACUUAAACAACACUGGCAAAUGGAUGGGUACAUGAAUGAACAAAUGAUCGCAUGAACGGGUAGAUAUAUGCCCUUGACCUUUUUCAGAGGAACAAGUGCCCGCGUUUGUGUCCAUUUGCUCACCUCUCGGCCUUGGAGUGGGGGACUUCUUCCCCAGGCCCACUUUCCUGGGCAGCAUGGCAGGUGCCCUCAGGGAUGCCCUGCCCAGCCUCGCAGGUCCGGAGAGGGGCCCAACUCUAGCCAAACAUCCCCACCUCCACCCUGAAUUCACCAAGUUGCCUGCAAAUCUUCACAUCUCUGGAUGAGACCGAGACCUCCCUUCAGACUGCUCCAGCCCAGCUUGCACUUGGCAAGGCAUGAACUCCUCCACACCUACAUCCAGUGCUCUGUGGGAUACCCCAGCACAGCACCUGCCUGUCUUUGCUGCAGCCUGUUUGAACUAUUGCUUGGAGCAGCAAAAAGGAGAGCACAGGCCACUUGACUCGUGGCCCUCUUUCCUGGUAGUGACGCUUAUGCUCAAUUAUAAGUGACUCUGUUGAGUUGGCAGACCAGAGGCCAUGGAGGAAAGUCCUGGAAGAUUUAUUGACUCCUCUACUGAUAUUCAACAGGAGAUCCCUAAUGGAGAAUGCUGGUGGUAAGAUGAUUUCAGGUUCUUGGGCCAUUGGACACAGCCACAGAGACUGGUGGCCAUGGCCUCCAUUGAACCCCCUAAGGACCCUUCUCUGAAUGGUGGCCUCUACAUAAGCCCCUGUGCUCAAUGGAUUUGUAAACUGAGUCUGCUCCCUGCUAUGCUUGCAUUCUGUCUCACUUAAACCCCAGACAUUUCUUCCUCUAUUAUGUAUGGAACAGCCUUUCAUGUUUGUGAUUAAGAGAGUGGAGGGCAUAUUACAUUUACCAAACAGUGCUCAUCUUGGAACUGCUUCCAUAAAAACUUUGCCUGGAAGUUCACUUAUUCAUUCAACAGGAAUUUAUUGAGCACCUACUAUAUGCCAGGCGCAGUUCUAAAUCCUAUACCAAAGUCCCUGCCCUAGUGGAGCUUAUAUUCUAGAAGGUAGAGUCAGAAAAUGAACAUGUAAACAAAUAUUAUAUUUAGGUAGUGAUAAAAACAAUGAAUAAAAUUUAAAAAAAAAGAGCCAUGGGAUAGAAGGAUAAGAGGAGUGGCUACUUUAAUUAGAGCAGAAGUUCCUAACCUUAGUGGUACAUUAGAAUCAUUUGAGGGUGUUUAGAAUUCCCAGUAUGUGGACUGCACAAAGACUAAUUAAACCAGAGUGUUCAGGGAAAGGAUUCAGACACUGGGAUGUUUUAAAAGCUCCCCUGGUGUUUCCAGCGUGCAACCAAGGCUGAGAAUCACUGUACUGGAGUAACAAAUGCUGAGGAAUGUCCAGGAGAGGAGGCCUUUAGCAGGGAAACAGCAAGUGCCAGG
rnacentral:lncRNA from 10 species